rnacentral:rRNA from 1 species
GACGGAGGAUGCAAGCGUUAUCCGGAAUGAUUGGGCGUAAAGCGUCCGCAGGUGGCAGUUCAAGUCUGCUGUCAAAGACCGGGGCUUAACUUCGGAAAGGCAGUGGAAACUGGACAGCUAGAGUAUGGUAGGGGCAGAGGGAAUUCCUGGUGUAGCGGUGAAAUGCGUAGAGGUCAGGAAGAACAUCGGUGGCGAAGGCGCUCUGCUGGACCAUAACUGACACUCAGGGACGAAAGCUAGGGGAGCGAAUGGG